UACAGCGGGUGCGAGCGUUGUCCGGAAUCACUGGGCGUAAAGGGCGCGUAGGUGGCGGCCCAAGUCCGUGGUGAAAGCUCGCCGCUUAACGGCGAGUCGGCCACGGAGACUGGGUGGCUCGAGCACUGUAGGGGCAGAUGGAAUUCCGGGUGUAGCGGUGGAAUGCGUAGAGAUCCGGAAGAACACCAGUGGCGAAGGCGGUCUGCUGGGCAGUUGCUGACACUGAUGCGCGACAGCGUGGGGAGCAAACAGG
rnacentral:rRNA from 1 species